AUUGAACGCUGGCGGCAUGCCUUACACAUGCAAGUCGAACGGUAACAGGUCUUCGGAUGCUGACGAGUGGCGAACGGGUGAGUAAUACAUCGGAACGUGCCUAGUAGUGGGGGAUAACUACUCGAAAGAGUGGCUAAUACCGCAUGAGAUCUACGGAUGAAAGCAGGGGAUCGCAAGACUUUGUGCUACUAGAGCGGCCGAUGGCAGAUUAGGUAGUUGGUGGGAUAAAAGCUUACCAAGCCGACGAUCUGUAGCUGGUCUGAGAGGACGAUCAGCCACACUGGGACUGAGACACGGCCCAGCCUCCUACGGGAGGCAGCAGUGGGGAAUUUUGGACAAUGGGCGCAAGCCUGAUCCAGCAAUGCCGCGUGCAGGAUGAAGGCGUUCGGGUUGUAAACUGCUUUUGUACGGAACGAAAAGCCCCGGGUUAAUACCCUGGGGUCAUGACGGUACCGUAAGAAUAAGCACCGGCUAACUACGUGCCAGCCGCCGCCGUAA
rnacentral:rRNA from 1 species